UACAGAGGGUGCAAGCGUUAAUCGGAAUUACUGGGCGUAAAGCGUGCGCAGGCGGUUGUGUAAGACAGAUGUGAAAUCCCCGGGCUCAACCUGGGAACUGCAUUUGUGACUGCACAGCUGGAGAGCGGCAGAGGGGGAUGGAAUUCCGCGUGUAGCAGUGAAAUGCGUAGAUAUGCGGAGGAACACCGAUGGCGAAGGCAAUCCCCUGGGCCUGCACUGACGCUCAUGCACGAAAGCAUGGGGAGCAAACAGG
rnacentral:rRNA from 1 species